CUGUGAGAUUACAUAUGCAUAUAGUGUUAAUGUUAUAAGAGUGUAGUAUUUACUCACAAAGUUAUCAGGUUAAAUAGUUUUAUCAACUAAUAAAAAUGUUAUUGCAUAACUAAUGUUAUAUACUGUAGCCCUGCCACGAUAUCCAGCGAGAAUUAUUUUGCUGAGUAUCGUAGUAAAAGUUAAGAUAUGAUGUUGAGAAUUUUUUUGAGUCGUGCAACAAUAUUAACAGCAAACUAUAAUACAAAUCUAUCUUUUUAAAAGUUUGUAU
rnacentral:misc_RNA from 1 species